AUGUCAUAAAAGAAAAUCAUAUACAGAAUAGCAUAGAUGAAGUAUACUCACAGUAUUAGUUUUUUUUUUGUAAUGUUAUAAUCCUUGUUUUUUUUUUUGAUCCAUAUGAGCCACGAAGGCGGUACAAAGUACAAAGAAGGGGAUGGGGGAUUCGAACCUGUGACCUAUCGUUCACAGCACCUCAAUCUUGACCAUUAGGCCAAGACAUCCUUGGUACUCACAGUAUUAGUUAGCACCAUAAUACUUUAUAAGUUUAUAUACACAAUAUCAAUUAGACAAAAUACCAAAAUUCUACUCCUACAUCCUAUAGUUAUAUUUCGCAAUUUAAUUUGGAUAGAAUACUAAUUAUAUGUAUAUGUACCAUUUACUAUUAUAAUCAUGAUAUACAAUAAGAAAAUACACAUAUUAUUUACUAAUCAACCCGUGCAUUGCAUGGGCCUCAACCCUCGUAAGCAAUCAUUUGCGACGAUGCGAAAUCAUGUUGUAAAAAAUUAAAAUCUCAAAUUUUGGCUGAAAAUAGAAGCGGGAUUUAUUCCUGGGUUGUGCUUCGAAUUUCCAGUUCUUUUAUCCUCAUAUUCACAGCACAAACACUCAUUUUUGUCAAAUUCUUUGAUUUCUUUAUUUCCAUCUUCAUUUUUUUCCACUAAAUUUCUUCCUUCCUUUAUUUUUUCCCCAAAAUUAGUACCAUCGAAAAAAUUUAUUCCCACUCUCUCUAUCUCUUCCUCUCUCCUUCUCUGUCAUUCCUCAUAUCCGGCUAAAUUUUUCCGAAAAUUGUUUUGCUUGGGGUUUGUUUUGCUUGGGUCGAAUUUGAGUUUGUGUUGGGUUAAAUUUGGGGUUUGUCUUUGGUCAUAGAUGGGGUUUUUGGGGUUGAUUUUGGGGGCUUUUCUUGGUUUGAUUUUUUUGGGAAAUAAAGGUUCGAUUUCUUGUGAUAAAUUUGUUCGAUUGUUUGGGGAAAUUUGGAUCGAUUCUAUGGGAAAAAUUGGAUCGAUUUUAUUGGGAAAAUUUGGUUCGAUAAUUUGAGAAAAGUUGGUUCAAUUUUUUAGGGGUUCAAUUUUGCUCGAAAAUAAUUUUGUGUUCGAAGGGAAUUUAGGGAUCUAUUGAUUUCGUUUUUUCUAUGAAUUUAGGAUUCAAUUAUUUUCGACUUUUUUGGAGUUAUUUAUUUUUUCUUAAUUUUUUGUUUCCUUGUUGAUUGUUUAUGCAGAUGAAUGACGAAGGUGAUGAACGAUUACGAAGGCUGAUCAACGAUGAUGAACGAUGACGAACGAUUUUGGGUACUUUCUAUCAAAAAAAUUCGGUUAAAGAGGGGUGUAAUUUGGGUUAGUUGAAGCUGUGAUGCAGAUUUAUAUUGAAAGAGAUUAGUUUCAGUCUUCGACAUAGCUAAAGAAUCCUAAAGGAAUUGUGUUUCCAUUCCAAAUUGUAGCGUAUUUGUACAUUAUUUGGUAAAAAAAAAAAAAAAAAAUCAGUUAGGGAUUCAAUGUAAUUUUAGAUUUAGAUUCAUUUGUCUAAUUCGUUCCACUGGAAUUGCGUUUCCCAUUAUUAUUAACAAAAGAAAUUCAUUUUUUAAUUUAA